GACGAACGCUGGCGGCGUGCUUAACACAUGCAAGUCGAACGGAAAGGCCCUGCUUUUGUGGGGUGCUCGAGUGGCGAACGGGUGAGUAGCACGUGAGUAACCUGCCCUUGACUUUGGGAUAACUUCAGGAAACUGGGGCUAAUACCGGAUAGGAGCUCCUGCUGCAUGGUGGGGGUUGGAAAGUUUCGGCGGUUGGGGAUGGACUCGCGGCUUAUCAGCUUGUUGGUGGGGUAGUGGCUUACCAAGGCUUUGACGGGUAGCCGGCCUGAGAGGGUGACCGGCCACAUUGGGACUGAGAUACGGCCCAGACUCCUACGGGAGGCAGCAGUGGGGUAUAUUGCACAAUGGGCGGAAGCCUGAUGCAGCAACGCCGCGUGCGGGAUGACGGCCUUCGGGUUGUAAACCGCUUUCGCCUGUGACGAAGCGUGAGUGACGGUAAUGGGUAAAGAAGCACCGGCUAACUACGUG
rnacentral:rRNA from 1 species